GCCUGCAACCGCUCACUCCUAAAUCACAUCCGCCGCCAAGUUUUUGACCAACGCCAAAAAAUCAACGAUCAGUCCGUGCUGCAAAUGUAUUUAUACCCCAAGCUGGUUCACAGCUCCAUCUCCCACGACAGCUAUAGCUGCCAACACUUCCCCUCAACUGUGCCCUUCCCAACACAGAGAAACGCCAGCCAGUUUGUCGGCAACAGGAGGUACAGAAGUGAAUUCUCAGAUGAUUUGGUAAAGGAUGAGUGUCCCGUUGAAUGCAGGCCUCCCACACAUCAGGACUGGAAAUUUUGCUGAAGAGUUGUCCUUGCAUGAUUCAGAACACAAACUUACUUCGUUAAAGGGUAAAAAAAUUGGAUAUAUUUUCAGAGCUAUUUCAAUUUUGGUGUUACUUUGAUACGCUCAGUAUGUAUAAUUGUUCAUUGUCAGGUAACAAUUUUGAUGAAGUCAUGUUUAGGAGAAAAUCUCAGGAGCUGCUUC